rnacentral:sRNA from 1 species
CCCUAGCCCUGAUAGAAGCGGCAUCCUUUUAUUUUUUUUCUUUAAAAAAAUAAAAGAUACAGCGGAUAGCAGGAUUAGCU